rnacentral:lncRNA from 10 species
AACAUAGAUUAAUAUUAGGAAGAAAGAUAUCCAGCCAUUUGACAUUGUAGUAGUUUAUCCAGAAUUUAGCUGCAAAAUUCUAUGCAGCAUCACAGAGCAGAGUAUAGAAAGGUGAAGGUUGGAAGCUGAGAGAUUAAUAACUUAAAACUUGUCACAAUAGGGAUAAUAUGAUGUGUUUAGAAAUAAAGAAUAGAUAACUUAUGACAUGUAAUAUAUAAUAUACAUAAUGGCAGACACUCAGUGUGUGAAAAUCGUGCUACUGAUAAUAAUGAUGAUGAUGUUGGUGGUAAUAAACUGAACAUCCUGAUUCUUUGCCUGGAGAUUAUUAUAACCUUUAAAAAUAUUCAACCCUGACAUUAGAUGGUUCCCUCCUUCAGCACCAGCAUUAAUUUUCUUGAACUUUUUAUACGUUAUCUUGCUGUAAGUAACCAUCUGUGUUCUAACAUAUUUAAAUAAGAAAACUAGGGAGAAUUAAGAAUAUAUAAAACAUAUAAAUAAUAAAAUACUACCUAAUAAAGUCAGAGAGAGUUUGUGUCUUGCAGUUCUUUCGGCUGAAAUCCAUUUGUUAUUAUCCAUAAUAUAACUAGUCACAUUGUGUGGUGAUAAGUUGUAGUAUAGGAGCAUUCUAUAAUCUGCCAGUGAAGUCUAUUAAAUCUCAGUCUUAUAGUGGAUAUGUGUGCCAGGGCUGUGACAUUCACAAAUGUAUCUUUAUUCAUGUAGAUUUCUUCCCUCUGCCUGCUUCUUCUUCUGACUAAAGCAUUCUCAAUCUAUAUCCUUGCAGUCCCACACUUGUUGAUCAUUGCCAACCCCACCAGAUGAGACAGAAAAUUUGAAGGUGACUGGAACGGAGAAGAAUGUCCUUCCUCAGUUAUGAGUAAGUUUCACAAUUGUCCUCUGUCAAGGUGCUUUAACCUGGAGAGUAGGCUUUUUUAUGUAGAAGACUCUAUGUGUAUUUUACAUCAGUUACUUUCCCCCUGUGCCAGCCAUAGCCUAUAGGGGAUCUUUCUUUGAUCAACAUUGUAACCUGAUAUGGUUUCAGGAGAGAAAGCCCAUGAAAGUAUGGGGGCUCCCCUAAGACUGUGAUCUCAGGAAUUCCUUACUCUGAAGCUGUUCCAUCCUUAUCGUCCAGCAAUUUAUAGUUAUCAUUUAAGUGUUUCUACCAGUUGUAGCUUCAGUGGCUUCUGCUCCAGCAGUGGACAAAACAUCCAGACAGAAAAUCAAUAUGGAAACAUGGAAUUUAAUCUACAUUCUAGAGCAAAAGGAACUAACAGACCUGUACAGAACAUCGCAUAUACCACAUGCAGAAUACACACUCUACUCAAAAAUCAAUAGAGGCUCAUAGACCGAGGACUGCCUUGUCUCAGAUGGGACUUUGGACCUGGACUUUUGGGUUAAUGCUGCAAUGAGGUAAGACUUUGGGGGACUCUUGGAAGGCAUGAUUGGCUUUGAAAUGUGAGGGCAUGAGAUUUGGGAGGGGCCAGAGGUAGAGUGAAAUGGUUUGGCUCUGUGUCCCCACCGAAAUUUCACCUUGAAUUGUAAUAAUCCCCACGUGUUGUGGGAGGGACUCAGUGGGAUGUAAUUGAAUCAUGGGGGUGGGUUUCUUUGUGCUGUUCUCAUGAUAGUGAAUAAGUCUAAAAAGGAGAGUUCCCCUGCAUAUGCUUUCUUGCCUGCUGUCAUGUAAGUCAUCACUUUGGUCUUCCUUGAUCUUCAGCCAUGAUUGUGAGGCCUCCCCAGUCGUGUAGAACUGUGAGUCCAUUAAACCUGUUUCCUUUAUAAAUUACCAGUCUCACAUAUGUCUUUAUUAGCAGUAUGAGAAAGGACUGAUACACUAACAAAUUGUUUGUUAAAGUUAUAAAAAUGACACUUUCACCAAUGAAUAUGAAACUUCCAUUUGUUACAAAUCAAUUCCACAAUUUGUUUUUAUAUCUGUGUGUGCGUGUGUGUGUGUGCACGUGUCCACAGUGUGUUUUUAAUGCCACACAUUAGGUUCCCUGGAAAAUGGACUCUAGGAUGUAGAUUUGUAGUCAGGCACUCAUAAAAUCUUACCUCCUUUAUCUCUAAAGUAGGUUAGAUAGGAGAGGUUUGGGAAUAAAGGGAAGUUGAACAGAUUUUCAAGUACCAUAAAGGCCUCAGCCAAUAUUACAAGGUUACUCUGCAGCUGGGAAGGCACUUCAUAAUACUAUCUGUCUGGGAUGAGGGUGCUGGACCUUUGUAACCUGGAGACUUUGGACAAACUGUAUCUCUUCAGCAAAAAGGAAGCCCCAGAUAUGGAUUCAUCUAUGAGAUCUUCAUCAAGCACAGUGUAGGAGAAGCAUCACGAUGGCACAUCAUAACAAUCAUAUUCCACAUCUUUAUUCCUAAAAUUGUUUCUCAAUUCAAGUGAUUUCAUAGAAAAAGUUCUAGGAUUAUCCUCCAAGAUUCUAUUUGCCACUUUUCUUAGAAAAACCUUGCAAAAGAAAUGUAAAAUGAACUAAAGUUUAUGCCAUUCCAACUGCGUUCAAGGCUAUAAAUGAUACUCCUAGUCUACCUCCUCUCUCACUCAUUCUAGAUUACAUUGACUUCUGGUGGCAGUCCCGAGUAUCUAUGUUGUUAUCUGUAGGUUGAUGAAGAUUCUCAUUUCUUAGGUAUCUAAUCCCAAAUCAUCAUGCUUUUCUUGGAUCAUAGCUACUGCACUUUUUCAUUUACCUUGACAAUUUGUCAAAGGUUUAUUGAAAGAUUUCUAAGUUAUUAUCUUGGUACCAUACUCUACCCCUUCCCAUUGAGUAACAUCAGCCUGACUUCACUCUAAUGACUGGAGUCAAUUUUCCAAGCUAGGAUUGAGACUCUACUCUUUCCCUGUCCUGGUCCCUUGGCAUCUAGUUGCUGAUUUGACUGGGUGGCAUUAUAACUUGAAAUUUAAACAGAACUUUGUUAUGCAUUAUAAUUGAAACAUUAUCCCUCUAAGAGUCUAGACUUCCAAACUCCAGAGUCUAAAGUUGUAGAUCCAGUAUUCAGUCUCAUGAAUAUGGCCAUAGCUCCUACAUAUAUUUCUAAGGUAGGUCCUGUAGAAGUAUUAUCUUCUUUUUCACAUUUACUAUAA